rnacentral:rRNA from 1 species
CCUACGGGUGGCAGCAGUGAGGAAUAUUGGUCAAUGGACGAGAGUCUGAACCAGCCAAGUAGCGUGAAGGAUGACUGCCCUAUGGGUUGUAAACUUCUUUUAUAUGGGAAUAAAAUGUUCCACGUGUGGGAUUUUGUAUGUACCUUAUGAAUAAGGAUCGGCUAACUCCGUGCCAGCAGCCGCGGUAAUACGGAGGAUCCGAGCGUUAUCCGGAUUUAUUGGGUUUAAAGGGAGCGUAGGUGGGUUGUUAAGUCAGUUGUGAAAGUUUGCGGCUCAACCGUAAAAUUGCAGUUGAUACUGGCAGUCUUGAGUACAGUAGAGGUGGGCGGAAUUCGUGGUGUAGCGGUGAAAUGCUUAGAUAUCACGAAGAACUCCGAUUGCGAAGGCAGUUCACUGGACUGCAACUGACACUGAGGCUCGAAAGUGUGGGUAUCAAACAGGAUUAGAUACCCUAGUAGUC